AGGGGACCAACACUGAAAACCACAUUUUUCGGCGCGGGGAUCUAAACGGCCUAGGGUUCGAGUCCCCUUGCUUAUGACCGGUGGUUUGAGUCCACCUUAUUAGAUAAUUAGGAGGUUCGAGUCCCCCCUCGUUACAUUAUAUGAUUGGGUGCUUAAGUAACCUUAGUAUAUUGUAAAACCUCGCAAAAUCUUAAGCUUAAAUCAGUCCGUUAAAGAUUGAAAAGAGGUCCCAGA
rnacentral:lncRNA from 1 species